UUUAAAAAACAAUGUUUGUCUGGCCAUGGUGGCUCAUGCCUGUAAGCCCAACACUUUGGAAGGCCGAGGCAGGCGGAUCACUUGAGGUCAGUAGUUUGAGACCAGCCUGGCCAACAUGAUGAAACCCUGUGUCUACUAAAAGUACAAAAAUUAGCUGGGAGUGGUGGCAGGCACCAGUAAUCCCACCUACUCGGAAGGCUGAGGCAGGAGAAUCGCUUGAACCCGAGAGGCGAGGUUGCAGUGAGCCGAGAUCGCGUCACUGCAGUCCAGCCAGGGCAGUAGGGCAACAACUCCAUCCCAAAUUAAAUUAAAUUUAAAAAACCAAAGGUUUUAGCACGAUAAAGAACGUUAAAAUGUAAACUAAACUAUGACAGUUUAGAUUAUGAUGAAUGACUUUUUAUUUGCACUUAUGUUAAGAAUCACCUUUAUUUAUUUUUUUGAAACACACAGGAAAUGCUGUGGUGGUAACUUGCUGGGUGAUGACUGGGAUGGUAUUUACUAUCCUAGGGAUGGUGGGGUCCAGUGGACCAGAAUCCUCAGCACCUGACCAUGUUCACUGCUGUCCUUUCUCUCCCUAAGAUUCGUUUCUCAGACUCCAUCAUCAACUCUGUUUCUAUCGUGGCGUGAACGGUUUUUCGCUGCUUUAGCAUCUAACUUUGAUUUCUGCGAAUUUUCGUUGAUAGUUUGUUUUUCUUGUCCAUCUCUGGUGCUGGCUUUGCUGUUCCACUUUGAGGAGUUCCGGCAGCUUCACCCUCAGCUACUCCAACAGUCCAUCCUUUUGGCUCAAACUCUUGCAGUUUCUUUCGGUUCUUCUGUUCCUGGCGUCUGAGAUUUGUCAGCAGAGCCUGUUUUUCAGGGAACAUGGAUACCACCUCCUCCCUCCUGCGGGGUGGCUCCUGCACGUCUAGUGGGCGCUAGUCCCAGCCGCGGCCCAGCCAAGCACAGCGGCAACCGCAGCAGCAGCCGGAGUGCCAGCCCCCGGGGUCGCCCAGGCCAGGGACGCCACGGCUCUAACCCUGGGUCGAGGCCCAGAUCGGUGCACAGAAAGCCGAUGUCAAGUGGAGCAUUUCCCACAGCUGGGCGAGCCCUCCUCAGCCUGCGGAGCCAGUUCCUGCCACCAGCUUCAUGCUGCCACUGCCCCCUUUCAUUAGAGGGACGCACAGGAAGGCACAGGGGCACAGAGACAUCGUGGAAGAGUCCAGGGGAAGGAGGAGGGGCGGGGCCCGUCAGCCUCAGGCCCAGGGCAUUGCGGCGCGCCUCAUGCCUGAGCAAACAUCAGCCACUGUCACCGCGGGGAGGACAGAGGGGCCCAGGCUCCCCCAGCCAGCCUUCCUCUGUGCCAGGAGAGGAGACAACUUUCCUAAAAAGCAGCACAGGGUAGAACCUGCAGAUCUGACCCAAUUAAGUUUUCGUCCUUUUUAACUCUUUUCUCUUGUUUUGCCUUUUCCUUUCAAAUUAUGCUCACCUGAAGUCAGAUUUCAUGUUCCAUCUUCAUGUGGCAAUUUACAUGUAAUCAUAAUGGUCACAACUUUAAAAACUUUUUUUGUUUUUUUAAUUUGGAGACGGAGUCUCACACUGUCGCCCAGCCUGGUGUACAGUGUCGCGAUCUCAGCUCACUGCAACCUCCGACUCCCGGGUUCAAGCAAUUCUCAGGCUUCAGCCUCCUGAGUAGCUGGGAUUACAGGCAUGCGCCACCACGCCUGGCUAAUUUUUGUAUUUUUAGUAGAGAUGGGGUUUUGCAAUGUUGUUCAGGCUGGUCUCAAAUUCCUGGCCUCAAGUGAUCCGCCCAGCUUGGCCUCCCAAAGUGCUAGGAUUACAGAAAAAUUUUAAUUUAUUUUACCCAACAGUGCUGGGUUAACAUUAAACUUUUAAUAGUGCUUUCUGAAUGCUACAGUUUAUUACCUUUUAUUUGAUUCUAUUAACUAAGCUAUAGUAACUAAUAAUAAAGUCUCAAUUUGCAUACCUUGACAGUUUACAAAGGGCAUGCAUUUAUUCAUUUAACCAAUAAAUGUGUGUUGAGCAUACACAAUGUGCCAUACUUUUUGCUAGGCUUAGGAAAUAAAAUGAAGAAAAGAAAGUAUUGGUCUCUACUCUCAUAAAACUUUCAGGCUGGCUUCAUGAAACUCUCACACACUCCUGAGAAGUGGAUACCUCUGAAGUCUCUUAUUAACCUCCUACCCAAAGUAACCACCAUGUGAAUUUUGUGUUAUUCUUUAAUUUAUGCAUUUUUAUCUAUAAACCAUAUACAUUUUAGUGUUGCCUGUUUUUUGCGUUUAUAUACAUUUUACCAUUUUAUAUUUGGGACUUGCUUUUUUAUUUAUAAUUUUUUUAUUAUUUCAUGUUGCUUAGCAUAGCUGUAGUUGUCCAUUUUCACUGCUGCAUAGUGUAAAUAUACAUCAAUUUAUAAAUCAAUCUUAUUGCCAGUGGAUAUUUGUGAAUUCCAAUUACUCCAUAUUUUUACCAACUUAGAAUUACUAGACAUAAUUUUUGACAAAAUGGU
rnacentral:lncRNA from 1 species